AUUUAUCUGGCUCAAGCUGUUAUUCACCUAACAUGCAGGGGUUUGAUGAGUUAAACCUCGUCCCACAGGCUGACCUUAAGACAGAACAACGCUGGUGCGCUUUGAGGACUACUCACGGCACAGCAGCCCUUCACACCGAAGCAUCGCCCCGUGCCCUCGCUGCUCCCCCAGGGUUACCGUCACCGGCCGUCCCUUCCCGAGGAGCGGCGGCAGCGGGAGGAGGCGGCCCCGAGCCGGGCCCAACGCCGAGUCAGCAGCGCCCCCUGGCGGGCGGAGGGAGGCUUCUACCAGCAGACCCCCAGGCCUGAGACAAGGCAGGUGAUGGCACCUUGCAGACAGAAGGAGGCUGCAGCACAGGGCAGGCUGCAGUCCCUCUGCACAAUGUGUGAAGCUGCUGGAAGGCUGCAUGCUGCAGGUUUUCUGCACGAAACAUCAGGCUCUUGUGUGGAGCUGGCACGAGGUGGAAAGGAGAAGUGAUGUGCUGCUUGCUGUGAUGCCCCUUGUGGUAUCAGGGGACCUUAGGUGUGCCACCUUUAUCUAGCCUCCACUCAGAGGUUCCACACCAGCCUGUCCUGAGUUUUAUCGAGUCAAUUCUUGAAAUCUAGCAAGAAUGGAGACUGACUGCACUGCCUGACUGCCUUCAUGGUGAAAAAAACCAUCAACUUGUAUGCAGACAUGUUCCAAUCUAUCCAAUGAUCUCUUGUCAUCCUCUCAUGCAGCAUGAAGAAGAGCCUGAACCAUCUACUCAGUGACUUCCUUGUAGAUAUCAGAAGGCUUCUGCCUUCACUUGGCUGUAUAGCUGUCAGAAGGACCAAUGAAACCCUUUUUUUCCCUCUGUGCAAGAGCUCUAGGCCCCAACAAUUUUCAUGCCCUUUUUUGAAUUCUAGUUUAUCCAUAUCUCGUCUACAUUGGGGGUCCCAAAACUAGAUCUAACAAUUGCUGAGUGGAGGAGUAUUACCACUCCCCUCAGGCAGCUGUUCUGGAUGUUGUUGGCCUUUUCUGCUGACAGAGCACCCUGCUAGCUUAUAUCCACCAGGGCUCUCAAGUCCUUUUCCACAAACUUACUGCCUCAUCAUUCUGCCUAUAUUGUUGCACAGGGUUCUUCCUUCCCAAAUGCAUUUCUCCCAGAGUUUCUGUUGACCUAUUCCCACUCUCUGUGCAGGCCCAACUGGAUGAAAUCUGUUUAGAGCUUGAGAAUAUCAAGUGGUACCUCAGUUUGGUGUCACCUCCACACCUGAGAAGUGAAGUAUGCAUAACUUCCUCCGGGCACUGAUAGAAACUUAGAACAGCCAGUUCCCAGGGCAGAUU
rnacentral:lncRNA from 1 species